AGGUUUGAUUGGGACCGCAUUGAA
rnacentral:siRNA from 1 species